GAUGAACGCUGGCGGCGUGCCUAAUACAUGCAAGUCGAGCGAACAGACGAGGAGCUUGCUCCUCUGACGUUAGCGGCGGACGGGUGAGUAACACGUGGAUAACCUACCUAUAAGACUGGGAUAACUUCGGGAAACCGGAGCUACUACCGGAUAAUAUAUUGAACCGCAUGGUUCAAUAGUGAAACACGGUUUUGCUGUCACUUUUAGAUGGAUCCGCGCCGCAUUAGCUAGUUGGUAAGGUAACGGCUUACCAAGGCAACGAUGCGUAGCCGACCUGAGAGGGUGAUCGGCCACACUGGAACUGAGACACGGUCCAGACUCCUACGGGAGGCAGCAGUAGGGAAUCUUCCGCAAUGGGCGAAAGCUUGACGGAGCAACGCCGCGUGAGUGAUGAAGGUCUUCGGAUCGUAAAACUCUGUUAUUAGGGAAGAACAAAUGUGUAAGUAACUAUGCACGUCUUGACGGUACCUAAUCAGAAAGCCACGGCUAACUACGUG
rnacentral:rRNA from 1 species